rnacentral:rRNA from 11 species
CUGUGGGGUUACAUACUUUCUAAAAAGGCACCAGACCCCUUUUGAUCUUGGAAGCUAAGCAUUACAUCAGAUAUGUUUUAUACUUGGAUGGGAGAUCACGAAUGAAUACCACUAUAAUUCAGAGA